CAAGGUAGCUCCAUUCUAAAUAUGUAAAAUGCAUGUUUUACUACACUAGAUUUCACACAUAAAUGUGCUCAUCAACUAUUCUCCCCCACCCCCAAACAGGAAUAAUAAGUAAAUGAGUAUCUUUUGUUGUGUGGUUGAGUUGUUACGUUGAACCUAUGUCCAUGUUACAAAGUUCUUAGCCUCCCCAUCCUCUCUUCCCCCUUUUGAUAAUUAAAGUUCUCAGAUUCCUAUUGGUCUAAGGUUUUAAGUCAUAGUCAAGCUUCAUUUCUAGUCUAUCACUCUAGCCAGAGGUUUCUUCGGUUUUGCAUUAGCUUGAGGGCCAUCAAUGUAGUCUCUUAUGCUCCCUAGCUAUCCCAAUCCCAUUAGUGGAUUGUCAUUUUAUCUUCUACUACAGAGGAUGUAGAGAUGCUGAAAGGAGAUGUCCUGGGGAUGUGAAUUAUGGUCUCAGGAGUUAUUUACUUGCCUCCUGAUUUCUUUAAAGGGUUAUCUGUUACGUGCUUUAUUACCAUUGGACCUCAAGUUACCGUUGUAGGUUUGAAUUAGUCAAUUUUAUCUUCAAGUUUAUUUCUGUUAGUCAUUUUUUUAAUACCGUUGUACAACGGUAGUUUUCUUUGAAAUAGUCAAGUUAUGGUCCGUUGAAGUCCUUGUUACAAUGAGUUUGUUUAGCAAACAAACUCUGUUCUUAUCUGUUCUUAUCUGUUCUUAUCUCUUCUUAUUUAAGUGAAGUUCGAAAGAACGUUAUACGGAAUAAAAUGGAAUAGUUUGGACUAUUAAGUCUUGUGGAGACAGUUACCCUCGAAGUAGCUAAUUUAUUUCUUCUUCAACUUCUAUUUUUUCUCUCUGUUUUUUACUUUUUCUUUAGCAACUGAAAUACUUGGAGCCAAGUAACGUAUCAGUGGUAUCAGCGCUCUCUUUCCUGCGACCAUGGCUGGUCAAGAUGUCCCUCGAACCCGCUUUAAGGAGCUAGUUGAGAAUGUAACUAAACAAGGGUUGGUACUACAACGACUUGACGAAAAUACUGCUGCCUUCAUGAAUGACAUUCGAUAACAACUAGCAACCAUGUCUUUGUCUAUCGAAAAGCUUUCAUCUGGAUCAACAAAAGAGAGGGGAGAACGAAUUGUUGGUUCUUCACAUUAGAGGACGCCAGCUCCUGAAGCCAGCAGAUUCCAUAGCAAGGGACCAAAAAUUGGUCUCUUUAAAUAUGAUGGAUCCGAGGACCCAUCGGGAUGGAUUUUGUUAGCAGAUCAAUACUUCUUACUGCACUUGAUUCCAGCCCACUAACUUCUAUUAUAUGCUUCAUUCCACUUUAAAGGUGAAGCUCUUCAAUAUUUCAAAUACCUUCAACAUGCAAGUGAGCUUGCUGAUUGGUCAUCCUUUGUCCAAACUCUUGAGAAGAGAUUUGGCCUAACUGAAUAUGAGGAUCCUGAAGGCGAGUUGUCUAAGCUGCGACAAAUGUCCACUGUGGCAGCCUAUUAGACUCAAUUUGAGAGUCUUACACAGAGAGUUGAUGGUAUUCCUGACAAAUUUCUUACUCACAUCUUCAUUAGUGGCCUCCAGGAUGACAUCAAGACGAUGGUUAAGUCCUUCCGUCCAACCUCCUUGAAGGACACUAUCGGGAUUGCUCGGCUCCAAGAAAAAAAUUUCUCUAAAAAUCGGAAAAUUUUUUCUUCAAGCAAGCCUCUCCCCUCAACUUCUGCAGCUACUCCAACCCCUCAACCAAAUGUCAAGAAGAACUCGUAUGCAGAAAUGAAGGCUCGACGUCACAAGGGGCUUUGUUACUAUUGCGAUGAAAAGUUCAAACCUGGCCACAAAUUCAAGUCUCUUACCUUGUUCCUUAUUGAGGGGCACAAUUCAAGUGAUGAUGACAUGGAUUGUUCAUUGGAUGAUAUAGAGGUAGCAUAUCUAGAAAUUUCUCUUAAUGCAAUCAUGGGAACUUGGACUCCCCAAACUAUGCGUGUUAUUGGAUAUAUUUCUAAAUGUCCCAUUAACAGACUUAUUGAUUCGGGUUCAACCCAUAAUUUUUUGGAUCCAUUAAUUGCCUCUAAAGUUGGUCUUGAUGUUUGUUCUAAUGCUCAAAUUGAUGUGGUGGUGGCUAAUGGUGAUCGAUUAUCUUGUGAGGGAAAAUGUCUUGAUGUAUCCCUUGACAUCCAAGGAUUCUCUCUCACCACAAACUUCUACCUCCUCUCUCUUGGUGGAUAUGAUGCUGUUCUUGGCGCCCAUUGGCUCCAAACAUUGGGACCAAUUUUAUGGGACUUCUCCAAAAUGUGGAUGCAGUUUUGUCACAAGGGAAAUAAAUUCGAGCUCAAUGGUGUGCCUACUAAGGAGCUCUCUCCUGUUUCAUGUCGGUGAAUAGAGAAAAUCCUCAAAAAAAAAUCCCACAAGGACGUUGCUGCUACAAAUUUCUCAAGUUUUCCCAGCUACUAUUGUCACAGACCCUCCACCAAGCAUCAAAGUCGUUCUUGCAGAUUUCCUUGAUGUCUUCUCUCCACCAUCUGGAUUGCCUCCAGUUAGAACUCAUGAUCACCGUAUUAUACUUCACCCUGGGUCAUUACCAACAAAUGUGCAGCCUUACAGGUAUCCAUUGCUCCAAAAGGCUGAAAUUGAACGCAUUGUCAAGGAAAUGCUCCAAGAAGGGAUAAUCAGGCCUAGUCGCAACCCAUUUUCAUCCCCUGUUUUGCUAGUUUGGAAACAUGAUGGCAAUUGGCGAUUAUGUGUUGAUUAUCGAGCUAUAAAUAAGGCAACAAUCAAAGAUCGAUAUCCAAUACCUGUAGUGGAUGAGCUUCUUGAUGAGCUUCAUGGUGCAAUCAUCUUCUCCAAGCUAGAUUUAAGGUCUGGUUUGUAUCAAAUUCGAUGGGCAGAGGAAGACAUCCCCAAGACAGCCUUCCGGACACAUGACGGCCAUUAUGAAUUUCUCGUGAUGCCUUUUGGCUUCACUAAUGCACCGUCUACAUUUCAAAGCCUUAUGAAUGAGGUAUUUCGUCCAUUCCUUAGGAAAUUUAUAUUGGUAUUUUUUGACGAUAUCUUGGUCAUGUUAGUCAUCUUAGACAAACCUUCGAGCUCCUUUGUCAACACAAGUUGCAUGUGAAGGAGUCUAAAUGUUGUUUUGGCCGCACAGAGGUCGAGUAUUUAGGGCACAUUAUCUCUGCUAAUGGUGUCGCAGUGGAUCAAAAGAAGGUCGAAGUGAUUCUUCAAUGGCCCCUACCAUCAACAUUGAAAUCCCUUUGUGGAUUCCUUGGCUUGACAGGCUACUAUGGGAAGUUUAUUCAAGGGUACGGUAAGCUUGCAGCACCCCUCACGAACAUGCUCAAGAAAGGGGCUUUCCACUGGACAGACGAUUCCAAAUCAACCUUCCAGUCACUCAAACAAGCCCUUACCUGCCCACCUGUUCUUGCUCUUCCGGACUUCACAAAGCACUUUGUGAUAGAAUGUGAUGCCUCUGGAAUUGGAAUUGGAGCAGUAUUACUUCAAUCCAGCCGACCGUUAGCUUAUUUCAGCCAAGCCCUUAGUGGUAAAUGACUCUACCUCUCCACUUGUGAAAAGGAACUACUUGCUUUGAUCCUAUCUGUUCACAGGUGGCGACCUUAUCUGCUUGGGAGUCAUUUUGUAGUUCGAACAGACCAUCAUAGCUUGAAAUAUUUACUGGAGCAGCGGGUAGGGAUGCCUUUACAACAACGUUGGCUCUCUAAACUUUUGGGUUAUGAUUUUUCAGUUGAGUAUAGGUGAGGAUCCUUGAACAAGGCUGCAGAUGCAUUGUCAAGAAGGGAUCAGGAUGUUCACUUACACUCUAUCUCUCAUAUUGUACCAUUUUGGAUGCAGGAAUUUGAUUGUCUUUCCAAUACUGAUCCAGUUGUGGUUACCAAGAUAAAAUCCUAUAGGAAUGGGAAGUUUGAUCAGUCCAAAUAUUCAAUUCAGAAUGGUCGACUCUUGUAUAAGGGGAAAUUUUAUGUUGGUGCUAACUCUACCUUUACAGAUAUUGUUUUGCAGGAGUUCCAUUCAAGUCCAGUUGGUGGGCACUCUGGUUUCAAUUACACCUUGCAUCGUGUUAAAAAAUAAUUCUAUUGGCCUAACAUGCGCUCAUUUAUCAAGAAGUUCAUACAAGAGUGUGAAAUAUGUCAACGAAACAAAAUAGAGAAUACAAUGCCCGCUGGUCUCCUUCAGCCCCUGCCUAUACCAACCAAAAUUUGGACUGACAUCGCGAUGGACUUUAUAGAUGGGCUACCCAAAUCAGGAGGUAAAGACGUUAUCAUGGUGGUAGUAGAUAGGCUAUCGAAGUAUGCACACUUCAUGGCUCUAUCUCACCCAUAUACAGCUUCUUUGGUGGCACAAACAUUCCUUGAUAAUAUUUUCAAGCUUCGUGGGAUGCCUAAAACUAUUGUCAGUGAUCGUGACAAAGUUUUUCUAGUGACUUUUGGAAGCAGCUAUUCAAGUUACAGGGAACAAUUCUCCAUUUCAGCACUGCUUACCAUCCUCAAACGGAUGGCCAAACUGAGGUGGUGAACAGAUGCUUAGAGACUUAUCUACGGUGUUUUGCAAGCCUUAGGCCCAAAGAUUGGCUCAAAUGUCUCUCUUUGGCUGAGUACUGGCAUAACACUAAUAUUAAUUCUUCCUCUGGUAUCUCUCCUUUUGAAGUAGUUUAUGGCUGCCUUCCACCAAAGCUUAUCACCUACAGUAUUGGAACAAGCUCCUUGGACCAAUUAGAUGAGCAACUAAGGGAUCGAGAUUCUGUUUUGAAGCUUUUGUGGCACAAUCUACAUGAGGCUCAAAACCGUAUGAAGAUUUUUGCAGACAAGAAGUGAACAGAUCGUGUCUUUGAGGUAGGUGAUUAUGUUUAUUUACGCCUACAACCAUGUUGUCAAUGCUCUGUCGCAGUUAGGAAGUCUCUUAAGCGUUCCCCACGGUAUUAUGGCCCUUUUCAAGUUUUAGAAAGAGUUGGAGCAGUGGCCUGCAAGCUGGACUUGCCUAGUUCUGCUAAAAUGCACAAUGUUUUCCAUGUUUCUCAGCUUAAGAAAAAAAUAGGGGAUCGUGAGGUGCCCCAGAUUUCCCUUCCUGCAGCUUCUGAAGAUGGGUUUUUAGAGCCCAAGCCUGCUCGGAUUCUACAAGGACGUGUUGUCAAGAGAGGGAAAAGAACUAUCACUGAGAUAUUGGUUCAAUGGGAAGGUGCUUCCAAGGAUGAUGCAACUUGGGAGUGGCUACUGGAUAUGAAGAGGCGUUUUCCAGAUCUUAACCUUGGGGACAAGGUUAAUUUUUAGGGGGUGGCAUUGUUACGUGCUGGAUUACCAUUGGACCUCAAGUUACCGUUGUAGGUUUGAAUUAGUCAAUUUCAUCUUCAAGUUUAUUUCUGUUAGUCAUUUUUUUAAUACCGUUGUACAACGGUAGUUUUCUUUGAAAUAGUCAAGUUGUGGUCCGUUGAAGUCGUUGUUACAAGGAGUUUGUUUAGCAAACAAACUCUGUUCUUAUCUCUUCUUAUUUAAGUGAAGUGGGAAAGAACGUGAUACGGAAUAAAAUGGAAUAGUUUGGACUCUUAAGUCUUGUGGAGGCAGUUACCCUCGAAGCAGCUAAUUUAUCUCUUCUUCAACUUCUAUUUUUUCUCUCUGUUUUUUACUUUUUCUUUAGCAUCUGAAAUACUUGGAGCCAAGUAACGUAUCAUUAUCACGUGGACAUAAUUGAUUUUCAUAGAUACUUGGUUCAUUGGGGUGUGGUCUUGUGCUUUGUAUAUUAAUUCGCUUGUUAGCCCGUAGAGGUAAUGGUGGAAGUUCAAGUGGAAACAUAUGGGCAAAGUUAUUAUUUUCUAGUUAUUUCUUUGGUUCAUAUAGCAUGAAUUAAAAAUGUUCUUCACUUUACAGGAAGUGUCAUUAACAUUUCAUCAUUUUGGAGCAUAUGGCAACAUUUUAUGGAACUAUUUGAAAUGGAUGCUUAUAUAAGAGAAAAAAAGCUUGGUUUACAGUACAUGAAGAGGUUUGCGAAAAAUGAAAUUUGAGCUGUGAUGACAAAUGCAACAUCGACUGAAGAAGAGGAUGCUGUCAAACACCCCUGAUGUUUCAACAAGCAGGUUAUGCUUGGACAGUAAUUGUUCGCAUCAUUACAUAAAGAGGAACGAUGAUACCACCAGCCCUUAGAACAAAUAGCUGCUAAAAUUAUGGGGAGAAAGAAGCAAAGAAAUGAAAAGAGGAAACCAUUAGACCAAAUUAUGUCAAGUGAACAAGGGUACGUCCACAUCAUAUCUCACUCAAAUCCCUCCCCCGCCCUUUUCUUAAUUUAUCAAUGUAGUUCGUCAAAAGCUCAUUCAAAACUCAAAAAGUGCGAGUCAUACUUACUAUUAGAAUUGUGAAAGCAUAGUGGUCUGUUUCACCA